rnacentral:rRNA from 1 species
GACGAACUGUCCUAACGUUGUUCGGAAUCACUGGGCUUAAAGGGCGCGUAGGCGGUCCGACAAGUCAGGGGUGAAAUCCUGCAGCUUAACUGUAGAAGUGCCUUUGAUACUGUCGGUCUUGAGGGAAAUAGGGGUGUGCGGAACUUCCAGUGGAGCGGUGAAAUGCGUAGAUAUUGGGAGGAACACCAGUGGCGAAGGCGGCUCACUGGACCGGAACUGACGCUGAGGCGCGAAAGCGUGGGGAGCAAACGGG